rnacentral:rRNA from 1 species
AAACCCAGGUGGUGUGAGAUGGAUCCGCGUCUGAUUAGCCAGUUGGCGGGGUAACGGCCCACCAAAGCGACGAUCAGUAGCCGACCUGAGAGGGUGACCGGCCACAUUGGGACUGAGACACGGCCCAAACUCCUACGGGAGGCAGCAGUGGGGAAUAUUGCACAAUGGGCGCAAGCCUGAUGCAGCGACGCCGCGUGAGUGAAGAAGUAUCUCGGUAUGUAAAGCUCUAUCAGCAGGGAAGAAAAUGACGGUACCUGACUAAGAAGCCCCGGCUAACUACGUGCCAGCAGCCGCGGUAAUACGUAGGGGGCAAGCGUUAUCCGGAUUUACUGGGUGUAAAGGGAGCGUAGACGGCGACGCAAGUCUGGAGUGAAAGCCCGGGGCCCAACCCCGGGACUGCUUUGGAAACUGUGCUGCUGGAGUGCAGGAGAGGUAAGUGGAAUUCCUAGUGUAGCGGUGAAAUGCGUAGAUAUUAGGAGGAACACCAGUGGCGAAGGCGGCUUACUGGACUGUAACUGACGUUGAGGCUCGAAAGCGUGGGGAGCA